GUGCCAGCAGCCGCGGUAAUACGUAGGUGGCAAGCGUUGUCCGGAUUUAUUGGGCGUAAAGCGAGCGCAGGCGGUUUCUUAAGUCUGAUGUGAAAGCCUUCGGCUCAACCGAAGAAGUGCAUCGGAAACUGGGAAACUUGAGUGCAGAAGAGGACAGUGGAACUCCAUGUGUAGCGGUGAAAUGCGUAGAUAUAUGGAAGAACACCAGUGGCGAAGGCGGCUGUCAGGUCUGUAACUGACGCUGAGGCUCGAAAGCAUGGGUAGCAAACAGGAUUAGAUACCCUGGUAGUCCAUGCCGUAAACGAUGAGUGCUAGGUGUUGGAGGGUUUCCGCCCUUCAGUGCCGCAGCUAACGCAUUAAGCACUCCGCCUGGGGAGUACGACCGCAAGGUUGAAACUCAAAGGAAUUGACGGGGGCCCGCACAAGCGGUGGAGCAUGUGGUUUAAUUCGAAGCAACGCGAAGAACCUUACCAGGUCUUGACAUCCUUUGACCACUCUAGAGAUAGAGCUUUCCCUGGGGACAAAGUGACAGGUGGUGCAUGGUUGUCGUCAGCUCGUGUCGUGAGAUGUUGGGUUAAGUCCCGCAACGAGCGCAACCCUUAUUACUAGUUGCCAGCAUUUAGUUGGGCACUCUAGUGAGACUGCCGGUGACAAACCGGAGGAAGGUGGGGACGACGUCAAAUCAUCAUGCCCCUUAUGACCUGGGCUACACACGUGCUACAAUGGAUGGUACAACGAGUUGCGAGACCGCGAGGUUUAGCUAAUCUCUUAAAACCAUUCUCAGUUCGGAUUGUAGGCUGCAACUCGCCUACAUGAAGCCGGAAUCGCUAGUAAUCGCGGAUCAGCAUGCCGCGGUGAAUACGUUCCCGGGCCUUGUACACACCGCCCGU
rnacentral:rRNA from 1 species